UUAAUUUUUUUCGAAUUAUACUAUUCCGAAAUUUAAACCCUAAACCCUAAAACUCAACUCUAAACCCUAAACCAUCAAUCCUAAACCCUAUAUUUUUUUUGAAUUACAAACCCUAUACCCUGAAACAUCAACUCUAAAUUCUAAACUCUAAACCCCGAAACAUCAGCUCUAAACCCUAAAACCUAAACCUUCAACUCUAAGCCCUAAAACAUCUAACUCUAAACCAUAAACCCUAAACUUCAACUCUAAACCCUAAAACAUCAACACUAAACCCUAAACCCUAAAAAUUAAACUCUAAAGCCUAAACACUGAAAAAUUAACCCUAAACCCUAAAACAUCAACUCUAAACCCUAAACCCUAACCUCUAAACCCUAAACCCUAAACCCUAAAACCUUAGAGUUGAUGUUUUAGGGUUUAGAUUUGAAGGGUUAUGGUUUAGGGUUUCGGGGUUACGUUUAGGGUUUAGAGUUGAUGUUUUAGGGUCUACAUUUGAAGGUUUAAGGUUUUAGGGUUUAGGGUUCGAAUUUCAGAAAAUAUAGGGUUUAGGGUUUACGUUUAGGGUUUAGAGUUGAUGUUUUAGGGUUUAGAUUUGAAGGUUUAGGGUUUAGGGUUUAGUGUUGAUGUUUCGGGGUUUAGGGUUUAGAGUUGAUGUUUCAUGGUUUAGGGUUUAGAGUUGAUGAUUUAGGGUUUAGAGUUGAUUUUUUAAGUUUAAAUUUAGGGUUUAGGGUUUACGUUUAGGGUUUAGAGUAGGGUUUAGAGUUGAUGAUUUAGGGUUUAGAAUUGAUUUUUUAAGUUUAAUUUUAGGGUUUAGGGUUUACGUUUAGAGUUUAGAGUGAUGUUUUAGAGUUUAGGGUUUAGGGUUUAGGUCAUGGCAUGAAGUUAGAUCAACCACAUAAUAGAAUUUCAAAAAAGAGGUCUCCUUCAUGCACAUAUAUUAUUGUGAUUGGGAAACUCUUCCAGAACACCAAGUGCAGAAGAAGUGGAUGAGAUAAUUUCAGCCGAGCUCCCAAACAAAGAGAAAGACUCAGAUGCUUACAAUUUAGUCACAAAACACAUGAUCCAUGGUCCAUGUGGUCUCAUUAAUCCGAAGUCACCGUGUAUGGAAAAUAAUAUGUGCACGAAAAAGUAUCCUCGGCCGUAUAAUGACAACACUUCGAUUGACAAAUCAGGAUAUGUAUUAUAUCGUCGGCGCCGAAACGACAAUGCGUAUGCGGUAAAGGCUGGGGCAAUCCUAGACAACACCUUUGUUGUACCUCAUAACAUUAAGCUUCUAAAAAAAUACGAAGCUCAUAUUAAUGUUGAAUUGUGUAAUCGUACAAGCGCGGUGAAGUACUUAUUUAAGUACAUAACCACGUGUGUUGACCGAGCAACAGUUGUUAUUGAGAAAGGAAAUACAGAACCUACAUGUGACACCAUGGCCUCUGGCGAAUCAAAGGAGAGAGUCAUCAGGCAACGCAAUGAGAUCCAAGACUACGUCGAUGCUCGAUAUUUAUCAGCUUGUGAGUCUAUGUGGUGGACUUUCGUAUUCCACAUACACAAAAGAAAGUCAUCAGUUGAGAAGCUUAUCAUUCACUUAGAAGGCGAACAUAAUAUCACGGUUAAAAAAACUGAUAACCUCGGCCGUGUAAUCUGCAAAGCAGAUAUCAAGAAGACCAUGUUCACUGAAUGUAUGGUUUUAUGCAGAAGGUCAGAGUUUGCACGGACAUUAACGUAUGUGCAAAUACCAGAAUAUUUUGUAUGGAACAACAAUGCUAAGGUGUGGACUGAACGUAAGAAAGGCAAAACCAUUGGGAGAAUCGUAGCUGUUCAUCCAUCAGCAGGUGAUCGUUACUAUCUAAGGAUCCUCAUUAAUAAGAUUAAGGGUCCUAGAAGUUAUGACGAGCUCAAAACAUACAACAGUGUGAAAUAUCAUGACUUCAAUUCAGUUUGCUACGCACGCGGCUAUUUAGACAACGAUGUUGAAUGGCAUGAGAGUAUGUCAGAGGGUGCUAGAUGGGCUACCCCAUACCAACUCCGCGAUAUGUUUGUCACGUUCCAAAACAACUGCUUCGUUACGAGUCCUAAAAACCUACGGGAAAACUCAUGGAGAUCAAUGAGCGAGGACAUACUUCACAAGAGGCAAAGAAUUUUAGGUCAUACAAAUCUGGAGCUGGAUGAUGAUACCCUUGAGCAAUACACGUUAAUCGAAGUAGAAAAGUUGAUGCGCAUGCAUGACCGCUCAUUGGGUGAUAUUAAAGAGAUGCCAAAGAUUAAACAUGUUUUGCUAAACGAACUGGGAAACAAUUUUUGGAACCAAGAACUGGAUUACGAUAUUGCCGAGGAAACACUAAGACAUGACAUGCAAUUCAACAAACUUAAUGCUGAUCAACGUGCGAUUUACGAAUCAGUCUUAGACUCAGUUGAUAAAAUGGAUGGGAAGCUAUUCUUUGUAUAUGGCACAAGUGACACACGGAAAACAUUCCUAUACCAAACCAUUAUAUCAAGGAUUCGAUCAAGAAAACAGAUAGUUCUGCUGGUUGCCUCUUCAGGAAUAGCCGCACUGUUGCUACCUAACGGUAGAACAGCGCAUUCACGCUUCAAUAUCCCUUUAAAGCUCACCGAAGAUAAGCUCUGCAACAUCAAACUAAGAACAAUGCUGGCUGAGCUAAUCGAGAAAACGGAUCUUAUAAUAUGGGGCGAAGCACCUAUGACACAUAAGCAUGCUUUUGAGGCCCUCGACAAAACGUUGAGAGACAUAAUGUCUAGAAAAAAUCCUUCUACAAAGGAUAAGACUUUUGACGGCAAGACAGUUCUAUUAGGAGGUGAUUGUAGACAGAUACUACCAGUGAAUCCACAAGGUAACAGAGCUGAUAUUGUCUUAGCUUCAAUAAGUCACUCAUACCUAUGGGAUAGUUGCCACAAGUUCUCUUUAAAAACAAAUAUGAGAGUCAAUCAGGAAGAAAAAGAGUUCUCCGAUUGGCUCCUUCUGGUUGGGGAAGGUCAUCCACAAUUAGAAUCGCGAUAUGAGUGUGAAGACUACCAUAAACAAAUGAUAACUGUCGAUAAAUCAUUGAUUCGUCAGAGUUAUGUUGACCCAUUAAAAGAAGUUGUUGAUGCCGCAUAUGGAGAAGUCAACAAACAUACAAAUUCCCAGACCUCCUACACUGAUAAAGCUAUACUCACACCAUGUAAUGAAACCGUCGAGGAAAUCAAUGCUUAUACCAUCUCACAGACCGACGGGGUGUCAAGAGAUUACUUCAGCUCAAACAGCUUUGAGAUAUCAGACACUAAAUCAGAUCAAAAUGAUACAUUAUACGCCGUUGAGUAUCUCAAUUCAUUGGAAUUCUCAGGGUUGCCUUCGCACAAACUAACUCUGAAAGUUGGUGCCCCAGUUUUUCUUCUGCGAAACAUAAAUAAAAAAAAAAGGGAUUAUGCAAUGGCACCCGUAUGAUCCUAACCCACAUUGGUGACCGCGUGCUCAACGCCGAAAUUAUCACUGGCUCACACAUUGGAGAGGAAGUCUUGAUCCCAAGGAUUGUUCUUUUGUAUGAUGAAACAAAACUAUCGUUCACAUUACGUCGGCGGCAAUUUCCUAUCAGAUUGUGUUAUGCAAUGACAAUCAACAAAAGUCAAGCCAAAGUUUAAAAGAGAUCAUCUUAUAUCUGCCUAAACCGGUCUUCGCUCAUGGUCAACUUUAUGUGGCCCUCUCACGUGGACUUACACAUGGUUUUUACCCAGCUAUGCUAGGUAUGAAUCUUUUUAUAUAAAUAACCAUAGCUUGGUAUUUACUUAAAUUUAAGUUAGCUAACUUAUUCUUAACCAAUUUCAGGCUAUUUCUUUCUUAUGGUCCACAACGCAGCUUCUGAUCUUCAAAAGACUUGAUCUCUUUCUGACAUUAUUUAUGAUUACUUAGCUACUCUUUUUGUUUUUAAACAAUUGCAUAAACUCGAUAUUCACUAAUUUUCCAAACAUUUUGGAAAAUACAAUGCUUCCAUUCCGAACAAAAACAUUGAAACUUAUAAUCAAAAGUCGACUAUCAACACACUUUUCCGCGCAUCGCAGGGUGAGGAUAUGGUAUCAAUAAUAAAUUGUAAAUUUUUGCAUAUAUUGUGUAUAAAUUGGAUUGCUCAUUAGUUAGUAAUAUUUAAAUAUUUUUAGAGUUGUGUAACGUAAAACCAUAUGAAUACAUCUUGUAAUAUUGAAAAAUUGAACCAAUAUGUAAUGUACAAUCUCACACGUAAUAGUUUUUAAAUAUUCACAAUAUGUUGGAUUAUUCAAUUUACAUGGCCGUAUUGAGACACAAAAAAAUAUUUGGACAUGAUUUAUUUGACAUGGACCAUGCUUGUUGGUUAAUCUUUGUAGGCCUAAUAAUUGAUGGGUUUAUCGUCGACGACAUGUUAUUGGCUCUAAACAAUUGAGAACGAAAAAAAUAUCCAAUUUCUUAGUUCUAAUCUAUCAGCAAGCAAAACAAAAUAAAACUACUCAUCUUGUCUAUGUGAUUAAGAAAAAUGGAUUAGGGUUUACAACGUAAAAAUUCAACAUGUUUGACGUUUCCAGAAUCUUCUAAUCAAAUCUUACCCAGAUGAUUCUUCUAUUAACAAUUUGUGUUUCCUUGCUGUUGCUUCUUCAUCGACAUCAACCAUCAUCUCCUCCGACAGUCUAUCAAGUGAAUUAGCUUCUCCCACAAUUUUUGGGUUCUAACCUUGUCUUAUAUAGGUUGAAGAACAUACUCCGAGAAUAUAUGCCUAAGAUUUGCCAAUUAUUGGCAUAUAUUUAGCUUGUCAAUCACUCAAACAAUUAAUAUUUUUAUAAAGCAUUACAAAUUAAUCCUAGUCAUACAUUCGUUCUUGACUUUAAAGCAUUGUAAAGGUAUGAAAUAUAUUUAGGAAUCACCCUAAUAUCAUUGCCAUAUAUAAAGAUUAUCGUUCAGUUGAAGUAUUUCAUAUAGUUAAUACUAUAUAUAUGUUUUCCUAAAAUAAAAGAUGACGGCUUACACUGUAUUAACGGGAUGAAUACACAGUAUUAGGCUAUAUUUAUUUUUACCUUUCUUGCAUACAUCUGUAUCAAAUAGUAAACCAAUUUCUAUUCGGUAUGUUUAACGGUUAACCACAUUGUUCACAUUACAAUUCGGUUUGUGAUAACCGUUUUUCAAAUUUAUGAAUGUGACAUUUACUGCAUUUUUGUCUAAAUUUUAUCAAUAUAAUUUUCCAUUGAGUUUAUGUGUUUACAUAAAAUGGUUUAAUGGUCUUCUGUGGUCUCGGCAGGUUCUGAUAUCGUUGCACAUAGUAUGUAAAAAAAUGUUUACAAUAGUUUCUUAUAUACCCAUAUUUAAGUCUAUCUACGGUUUAGAUAGGUGCUCUUUUUAUAAUCUCAUAUGGAUAUGUUGCUUUAACUGCAUGUGAAAGAGGACGAGUAUGUAUGGGAAAUAUGAAGUUUACGUGUUUGUAACGUGCGCAAUGUUGGGUUUAUUAGAAAAUCUUGUAAAAUUUAAAUGUUUAAUAUUUAAUUUUAAUGUACAUGGGGAAGACAAUAGUAGGUUGAAUGGUAGUGACAUAUUUUGUAAAUAUUGUAGUAAAGAAAGAGAAACUAGUUAUUUAGGUUGAGAAUCAUUGUGAGAUUGACACCUAAGCAUGGCAUGUAUGUAGAUAAAAUUAAAUACUAAAUGUUACUCUUCCAAAAUGUAAAGAGAUUUUUUUUAUCAAGACCAAAAUCCAACCAAUUUAAUUUCCGUUGAACAAUAUUUACAUACAGUCAAAUCUAAAAAAUGUUUCCAACAAUAAAAAAGUUAUAAAGCUAUAAAUAGGGAUUGUUCAUAGUAACUAGAGAUAUCAAAAAGAGACAAACAUAGAAGAUACACAAGACUAAAAAAUAAAAGAUGGAGAAGAAGUGCAUGUGCAUGUUGAUGAUUAUGUUCAUUGCAUUGGCGUUGAUGCCAUUACCAGCAAUGAGUGAAUCAUAUGAAGCUUGUUAUGAAAGGUGCAUUCACUCGUGCCAAAUAUUUUUUUGAGGGAGUUGAAAAAUGCAUUCAUGAUUGUGUUGGUAUCAAAUGUCAUAAAACACAUGUACUCCCUCGGUAUGUAUAAUUCAUGUAUCAUAUGUAUAUACGUAAUGUGUGAGUAUGUAUGUAUGCAUGUCUAAAUGAGUUUUGGUGGUAAUGGAUUUACAGGAUGGCGACUAAAGAGAUGUUUCAAGAAAUUCAUACAUAGAGAGAUAUGUUAUUAAACACACAUGAUGUUUAAAUUUACUACUUUUUGAAUUAUAUAAUUUUGAAUAAUAAAAUUCCAUCAUUUUUAGAAUUCAGUUGUUUUCACAACAUCUUCUAUUGCACAUUUUUAAUUGUUGUGUUGUAUCAUAGAUCUUUUUGGUUCAUAGUAUGUCUAAAUUUACAUAUGGGCAUGUACCAUUUAGAGUUUCAGGCCAUCCAAACAUUAGAUAACUCAUUGCACCCAAUCUAAGAAUAUAAAAGAUUAAGAGUUUGAUUGGUAGAAUGUGACUUUAUUUUUUCUUUAUCUAGAAAGAGGCUAUAAAUUUUUGUGUUGUAAUUGUUGCUGUAGCUGUAAUUUCUAUUGCUAUAUGUUCUAAUUUAACUUUUAUAACUUUUAAUUAUUUAUUUAAAGCAUGAUUUGUAAAUUGAAGUUGUAGAAAGCACUGAGAUCAGUUACCAAUAAUCUCCUAAAAAUGUGAAAAUUGUUUUGUUUUAUGUGAUACUAGAAAUCUUCUCUAUUAAAAAAGAAUUACAAAAAAUCUAAUGUACCAAAAUCAUAGGAAAAUAAUUUCAUUAAUCAUUUAAUAUAACAUAUUUGAUAGCGUAAGAAUCAUGUAAAUGUUACGGUGUGUAACUUUAUUAAUAUAGCACAUAUAAUAUAGUAUAACUUUUAUGAAGAUUCUGCUAUAAAGAUUAUAAAUGCUUUGACCAAUGUUGGCUAAUUUUCAUGACAUAGACAAAAUGGUUUAUAGUUUUAUAUUAUACUGUUUCGAUCAAUUUGAUUAUCUUAAUUGCAACAAAAUGUCAUAACAUGUGAUAUACCAAGCUUUUAUAUUUGUUUGGUAGAUUUUUAUUACAAAAUAAGUUUAGUAAAAAGUUAAAAAAUUCCAUGAACAUAUGUCGUAAAUCACAUAUAUCUGGUUAGAUAGAUGGGCUUAGUAAAAAUAAAAUAAAUUAUAAUUAUAUUUAAUUAGAUAGAAGUAUAAGUUAGGUACAAUUUUCCACAAAAAUAGGAUAAAACAACAGUGACUUUAAUAUUAAUAACUGCAUAUUAAUAGUCACGUAUAUGUAUAUUUUCUUUAAUUUGUUAACUUUCUAAUAAAUAGGUUUAACAACAUUUUAAAGUAGAUUUUUAAGAAUGCUUUUUUUUAAUAGUAUAGAUAUUUUGUUAUGUGUUUUUCAUAAUUAAUAGUUUUAAAUUUUUAUUAUAAUAUUUAUAUGAAUAAAUACAUAAAAGGUAUAAUAUUUUUAAACCGAAAAAUAUAAAUGUAAAUAAAUUUUAAAAAUAUAAAUUGCAAAAAUAUUUAUUAGUUACAAAUAAUAAAAUAUAAAAAUUAUUAAAAAUGAAAAUAUUAAAUAAUAUAUAAUAUUACUUUUGUGUAAUAUUUGGUGUUAUAGUUGGAAAUGAUAAAAAAAAUAUAACACCAAAACACCAAAUUUGAUGUAAUUUUAACAUGGGAAAAUUUUAUGUUUACCACUUUCAUACUACCACUUUUCAUAUUAACCAUCACUAAAUGGACAUUUUCAAAAAUACAUUCUUCAUUAAAUGGCAAAAGACUCUUAUAUCCUUGUUCUUCAUAUAUAUAAUAAAUAAAUAUUUAAAUAUAUAAAAAAUAUUUAAAAAGAAAAAUUAUAUUUUUAAUUUUUUUCGAAUUAUACUAUUUCAAAAUUCGAACCCUAAACCCUAAAACUCAACUCUAAACCCUAAACCAUCAAUCCUAAACCCUAUAUUUUUUUUGAAAUACGAACUCUAAACCCCGAAACAUCAGCUCUAAACCCCGAAACAUCAGCUCUAAACCCUAAAACCUAAACCUUCAACUCUAAGCCCUAAAACAUCUAACUCUAAACCCUAAACCCUAAACUUCAAAUCUAAACCCUAAAACAUCAACACUAAACCCUAAAAAUUAAACUCUAAAACCUAAACCCUCAAAAAUUAACCCUAAACCCUAAAACAUCAACUCUAAACCCUAAAUCCUAAACUCUAAACCCUAAAACCCUAGAGUUGAUGUUUUAGGGUUUAGAUUUGAAGGUUUAUGGUUUAGGGUUUUGGGGUU
rnacentral:lncRNA from 1 species